rnacentral:rRNA from 1 species
UACGGAGGGUGCAAGCGUUAUCCGGAUUCACUGGGUUUAAAGGGUGCGUAGGUGGGUUGGUAAGUCAGUGGUGAAAUCUCCGUGCUUAACAUGGAAACUGCCAUUGAUACUACUGGUCUUGAAUUUUCCGGAGGUAAGCGGAAUAUGUCAUGUAGCGGUGAAAUGCUUAGAUAUGACAUAGAACACCUAUUGCGAAGGCAGCUUACUACGCCUAUAUUGACGCUGAGGCACGAAAGCGUGGGGAUCAAACAGG